AGAGUUUGAUCAUGGCUCAGAUUGAACGCUGGCGGCAGGCUUAACACAUGCAAGUCGAGCGGGGAAAAGUAGCUUGCUACUUGACCUAGCGGCGGACGGGUGAGUAAUGCUUAGGAAUCUGCCUAUUAGUGGGGGACAACAUCUCGAAAGGGAUGCUAAUACCGCAUACGUCCUACGGGAGAAAGCAGGGGACCUUCGGGCCUUGCGCUAAUAGAUGAGCCUAAGUCGGAUUAGCUAGUUGGUGGGGUAAAGGCCUACCAAGGCGACGAUCUGUAGCGGGUCUGAGAGGAUGAUCCGCCACACUGGGACUGAGACACGGCCCAGACUCCUACGGGAGGCAGCAGUGGGGAAUAUUGGACAAUGGGGGGAACCCUGAUCCAGCCAUGCCGCGUGUGUGAAGAAGGCCUUUUGGUUGUAAAGCGCUUUAAGCGAGGAGGAGGCUACCGAGAUUAAUACUCUUGGAUAGUGGACGUUACUCGCAGAAUAAGCACCGGCUAACUCUGUGCCAGCAGCCGCGGUAAUACAGAGGGUGCAAGCGUUAAUCGGAUUUACUGGGCGUAAAGCGCGCGUAGGUGGCCAAUUAAGUCAAAUGUGAAAUCCCCGAGCUUAACUUGGGAAUUGCAUUCGAUACUGGUUGGCUAGAGUAUGGGAGAGGAUGGUAGAAUUCCAGGUGUAGCGGUGAAAUGCGUAGAGAUCUGGAGGAAUACCGAUGGCGAAGGCAGCCAUCUGGCCUAAUACUGACACUGAGGUGCGAAAGCAUGGGGAGCAAACAGGAUUAGAUACCCUGGUAGUCCAUGCCGUAAACGAUGUCUACUAGCCGUUGGGGCCUUUGAGGCUUUAGUGGCGCAGCUAACGCGAUAAGUAGACCGCCUGGGGAGUACGGUCGCAAGACUAAAACUCAAAUGAAUUGACGG
rnacentral:rRNA from 1 species